UACGUAGGGUGCAAGCGUUGUCCGGAAUUAUUGGGCGUAAAGAGCUCGUAGGCGGUCUGUUGCGUCGGCUGUGAAAACCCGGGGCUCAACUCCGGGCCUGCAGCCGAUACGGGCAGACUAGAGUUCGGCAGGGGAGACUGGAAUCCUGGUGUAGCGGUGAAAUGCGCAGAUAUCAGGAGGAACACCGGUGGCGAAGGCGGGUCUCUGGGCCGAUACUGACGCUGAGGAGCGAAAGCGUGGGGAGCAAACAGG
rnacentral:rRNA from 1 species